rnacentral:rRNA from 1 species
UUACACAUGCAAGUCGAACGAUGAUCCCAGCUUGCUGGGGGAUUAGUGGCGAACGGGUGAGUAACACGUGAGUAACCUGCCCUUGACUCUGGGAUAAGCCUGGGAAACUGGGUCUAAUACCGGAUAUGACCGUCUGACGCAUGUCAGGUGGUGGAAAGCUUUUGUGGUUUUGGAUGGACUCGCGGCCUAUCAGCUUGUUGGUGGGGUAAUGGCCUACCAAGGCGACGACGGGUAGCCGGCCUGAGAGGGUGACCGGCCACACUGGGACUGAGACACGGCCCAGACUCCUACGGGAGGCAGCAGUGGGGAAUAUUGCACAAUGGGCGCAAGCCUGAUGCGACGACGCCGCGUGAGGGAUGACGGCCUUCGGGUUGUAAACCUCUUUCAGUAGGGAAGAAGCGAAAGUGACGGUACCUGCAGAAGAAGCGCCGGCUAACUACGUGCCAGCAGCCGCGGUAAUACGUAGGGCGCAAGCGUUAUCCGGAAUUAUUGGGCGUAAAGAGCUCGUAGGCGGUUUGUCGCGUCUGCUGUGAAAGACCGGGGCUCAACUCCGGUUCUGCAGUGGGUACGGGCAGACUAGAGUGAUGUAGGGGAGACUGGAAUUCCU